UAUUGCACAAUGGGCGCAAGCCUGAUGCAGCAACGCCGCGUGAGGGACGAAGGCCUUCGGGUUGUAAACCUCUUUUAGUAGGGAAGAAGCGACUGGGUUUUCCUGGGAGUGACGGUACCUGCAGAAAAAGCACCGGCUAACUACGUGCCAGCAGCCGCGGUAAUACGUAGGGUGCAAGCGUUGUCCGGAAUUAUUGGGCGUAAAGAGCUCGUAGGCGGUUUGUCGCGUCUGCUGUGAAAACCCGAGGCUCAACCUCGGGCCUGCAGUGGGUACGGGCAGACUAGAGUGCGGUAGGGGAGAUUGGAAUUCCUGGUGUAGCGGUGGAAUGCGCAGAUAUCAGGAGGAACACCAAUGGCGAAGGCUGAUCUCUGGGCCGUAACUGACGCUGAGGAGCGAAAGCAUGGGGAGCGAACAGGAUUAGAUACCCUGGUAGUCCAUGCCGUAAACGUUGGGAACUAGAUGUGGGGACCAUUCCACGGUCUCCGUGUCGCAGCUAACGCAUUAAGUUCCCCGCCUGGGGAGUACGGCCGCAAGGCUAAAACUCAAAGGAAUUGACGGGGGCCCGCACAAGCGGCGGAGCAUGCGGAUUAAUUCGAUGCAACGCGAAGAACCUUACCAAGGCUUGACAUAUACCGGAAACGGCUGGAAACAGUCGCCCCGCAAGGUCGGUAUACAGGUGGUGCAUGGUUGUCGUCAGCUCGUGUCGUGAGAUGUUGGGUUAAGUCCCGCAACGAGCGCAACCCUCGUCCUAUGUUGCCAGCACGUAAUGGUGGGAACUCAUGGGAUACUGCCGGGGUCAACUCGGAGGAAGGUGGGGAUGACGUCAAAUCAUCAUGCCCCUUAUGUCUUGGGCUUCACGCAUGCUACAAUGGCCGGUACAAAGGGCUGCGAUACCGCAAGGU
rnacentral:rRNA from 1 species